ACGCUGGCGGCACGCCUAACACAUGCAAGUCGAACGAAGUAGCAAUACUUAGUGGCAGACGGGUGAGUAACAUGUAGGUAUCUGCCCUUUGGCCUGGAAUAACACGAGGAAACUUGUGCUAAUACCGGAUAAGUCUUUACAGAGAAAGCUUUAUGCACCAUUGGAUGAGCCUGCACUUGAUUAGUUUGUUGGUGGGGUAAUGGCCUACCAAGACUGUGAUCAAUAGCUGAUUUGAGAGGAUGAUCAGCCACAUUGGGACUGAGACACGGCCCAAACUCCUACGGGAGGCAGCAGUGGGGAAUCUUGCACAAUGGAGGAAACUCUGAUGCAGCGAUGCCGCGUGAGUGAAGAAGGCCUUUGGGUUGUAAAGCUCUUUCGUCGGGGAAGAAAAUGACUGUACCCGAAUAAGAAGGUCCGGCUAACUUCGUGCCAGCAGCCGCGGUAAUACGAAGGGACCUAGCGUAGUUCGGAAUUACUGGGCUUAAAGAGUUCGUAGGUGGUUGAAAAGGUUAGUGGUGAAAUCCCAGAGCUUAACUCUGGAACUGCCAUUAAAACUUUUUAGCUAGAGUAUGAUAGAGGAAAGCAGAAUUUCUAGUGUAGAGGUGAAAUUCGUAGAUAUUAGAAAGAAUACCAAUUGCGAAGGCAGCUUUCUGGAUCAUUACUGACACUGAGGAACGAAAGCAUGGGUAGCGAAGAGGAUUAGAUACCCUCGUAGUCCAUGCCGUAAACGAUGUGUGUUAGACGUUGGAAAUUUAUUUUCAGUGUCGCAGCGAAAGCGAUAAACACACCGCCUGGGGAGUACGACCGCAAGGUUAAAACUCAAAUGAAUUGACGGGGACCCGCACAAGUAGUGGAGCAUGUGGUUUAAUUCGAAGAUACGCGCAGAACCUUACCAACACUUGACAUGUUCGUCGCGACUCUAAGAGAUUAGAGUUUUCGGUUCGGCCGGACGAAACACAGGUGCUGCAUGGCUGUCGUCAGCUCGUGUCGUGAGAUGUUGGGUUAAGUCCCGCAACGAGCGCAACCCUCACUUUUAGUUGCCAUCAUUAAGUUGGGCACUCUGAAAGAACUGCCAGUGAUAAGCUGGAGGAAGGUGGGGAUGACGUCAAGUCCUCAUGGCCCUUACGUGUUGGGCUACACACGUGCUACAAUGGUAUCUACAACAGGAAGCAAGACUGCGAAGUUAAGCAAAUCCCUAAAAGAUACCUCAGUUCGGAUUGCACUCUGCAACUCGAGUGCAUGAAGCUGGAAUUACUAGUAAUCGUGGAUCAGCGUGCCACGGUGAAUGCGUUCCCGGGUCUUGUACUCACCGC
rnacentral:rRNA from 1 species